UUUCCGUAGGUGAACCUGCGGAAGGAUCAUUAUUGUACCAAAUGUGCGAGGCAUGCGAGGGCUGUCGCUGACUGAAAAGUCGUGCACGCCGGAGGGUGUCUUCUCACAUAAUAAUCCAUCUCACCCCUUGUGCAUCACCGCGUGGGCACCCUUUGGGAUCUGACCGAUCCUGGAAGGGGGCUCACGUUUUCACACAAACCCCACAUCUAAAAGUGUAGAAUGACCUCGUUCAUGCAAUAAAUACAACUUUCAACAACGGAUCUCUUGGCUCUC
rnacentral:misc_RNA from 1 species